rnacentral:rRNA from 1 species
CCUACGGGAGGCAGCAGUGGGGAAUUUUGGACAAUGGGCGAAAGCCUGAUCCAGCAAUGCCGCGUGAGUGAAGAAGGCCUUCGGGUUGUAAAGCUCUUUUGUCAGGGAAGAAACGGUGGGAGCUAAUAUCUCUUGCUAAUGACGGUACCUGAAGAAUAAGCACCGGCUAACUACGUGCCAGCAGCCGCGGUAAUACGUAGGGUGCAAGCGUUAAUCGGAAUUACUGGGCGUAAAGCGUGCGCAGGCGGUUUUGUAAGUCUGAUGUGAAAUCCCCGGGCUCAACCUGGGAAUUGCAUUGGAGACUGCAAGGCUAGAAUCUGGCAGAGGGGGGUAGAAUUCCACGUGUAGCAGUGAAAUGCGUAGAUAUGUGGAGGAACACCGAUGGCGAAGGCAGCCCCCUGGGUCAAGAUUGACGCUCAUGCACGAACGACGGUGGGGAGGACGAAACGAAGGAGUUAGUAUACCGUACGGUAGUACCGACCGACCCGUAAACCGAACUAGUCUACUUAGUUGGUUCGGGUUCGUUAACUUGUACGUU